rnacentral:lncRNA from 1 species
AAAUAAUUGGUGAUCCACAAAAAGAAAAUAAAGUGAGAGACAAAUUCCUGACUCUUUUAAUGUCAUACUGGUUAAAUAUUCGGGGGGAAAAUUUUUAUUAAAAAUAUGUGUACAAAAUACUUUCUAAAACAGGCAUAAUUCAUCACAAUUAAUUACAGAGGGUUGUUCAAACAAAUGGAUCUACUUCUAUAGAUAUACAUGCAUAUACAGACAUAGAUAUAGAUAAAUAUCAACUUUCCUUUUAGCAUGAAAAGACAAGAAAUUUAAACAAUAGUGAACUAAUAAAAAUAUACCUCCGUUAAACUGCUCAGACUCAAGAAAAUUAGGGUGAAUAAUCAUACAUCACAGAUGAUGAAAGAAGUACUGUGUUCUCAUACCUUGCAUAUUACGAUUAUAAAGUGUUCCACAUUUAGGGGUUGGCAACCAAACAAUAUCUAUUAACAACUAAAAUAUAGAAAAGCAAAAUGCAGCAAUGCUGGUCCUGAGAAUCUCCCCAGAGUAAUAAACGCAGGUAUAAUUACAAGAGCAAAAUGCAGGACACCAAUACUUCUAUGAUAUGACCUGUAUUUGGUGUUGGGCUUUACAGGAGCUCUUUCUCAGACACAUAUGCAUUAUCUGUAUCUUUUCUGAGAUUCUACUAACUUUAUGGUGAAAUCAACAAUAAAAGGUUUUCAUUUUGAUAAAUUGGUUUUCAAAAGAGAAAGAUGUUACAAGACCCUUUCAACUUGUCUUGCAAGUGAAGGCUAUAUCUGAGGCUGCCAAGAAAAGUUAUUGACAAAGGCAUGGCAAAAUGUUAAUGUGGUUUUGUUGACCACUGUGUUUGCAGCACAGUGGAGAAACAGCGUGGUUUUCUGUCCUUGCUGAGUUUUAUGCAUUUUAAGGAAUCAUAUUUGUUCAUUCCACAUUGCAGAAUGUUUCUUGCAUUUUCAUUUCCUAAUGCAGACUAAAUAUCUUAUGUGGUUUGCAAUAAUUCUCUCCUUUUAAAGGUAUUUCUGGAGUAACUGCCUGGUCUGUAACAUGUUUGAUGGAUACCUAACCCUUAAAUAUUACAAAAUUUUAUGCACAAUCACUACUUGAUUUUGAUGGACAUAAAAACACGUUUUUAAGUUACAGUAGCAAGAUAUUAUCGUUGCCUGUGUUAACUCAUUACUGAUACUCGGUUUAUAAUCAUAGCCACCCUUUGUGAAAAGGUUAGCUUGUUACAUUAUGGUUAUGCUGAGGGAAGAACAGGCUAUCCUGGAUGCUUGAGGGCCUCUCGUGGUGACUGAGUGUUGGCACUAGUGUCAGUUCAUAUCUAAAUAUUCCUACAUAUGUAAUGUACUUUCAUAUUUUUUUUGACAACACUUGUCUAGGGAAUAUUUCAACUCUACUCUGUGCUUUUGGGAUUCAAUGGGAAUCCCCUUUCAGAUGGUCAACAGUGUGAGCCUUAUUGAUUGACCUUUUUGCCCUCUUCCCUGAAAUAUAUUCUCUAGGUUUAAUCUGUGGAAUUAGAUUUUAAGUCACAUUUUCUUGCGUAAAUGUAUGAAAGCAGGAAAACCGGCUGUUGCUCAUAUUAACAGCAUUUUUUUCACAUAGUGUAAGAAAAACAGUGGUCUUAUUCACCAGACCAAUCUUGUAUUCCCGCUGGUCUCACAGUUCAAGACUCCCUUCCCCAGGCUUUUUGUUCUGAGGUCUGGCCAUACAAGCAUCCUAGCUGAGUGGGUGGAAACGACAUUUACCUGGUACAGGCCUGACCUGUGAAAACACCCUCUGUGAAGCCCCAAAUAUUUUUUGCCAUACAACUGCAUGAAAUUUUCCCAAGCACCAUAGCCAGAUUUGAAGACACAGGUUAGCAAUGAGAAAUACACCAAUAGAAGGUAUGGGGGUCCCUAAAUCCAUAUUUGGAGGAAAAUCCACAAGCAGAGUCACAUGACAUUUGAAAGCCUGUGUUGAGGUGGUAUAUGCCAGCAAUGAUAAAUAUUACAUGAUGAUCAAACUGCUGAUAAAUUCAGGUUUGUCUAUUACAACAGCUAAUUUUACGUUAACUGUAACAAAAAUAUAUUGAAGAAAAGUUUGCAUGGAAAUUUUUAUUUUUAUAUUUAUUUAUUUCUCCUAUCUCAGCCUCUCAAGUAGCUGGGACUACAGGCACUUGCCAUCACGCCCAGCUAAUGUUUGCAUUUUUAGUAGAGGCAAGGUUUCACCAUAUUGGUCAGGCUGGUCUUGAACUUCUGACCUCAGGUGAUCUGCCUGCCUUGGCCUCCCAAAGUGCUGGGAUUAUAGGUGUGAGCCACUGCACCUGGCCUGGACAAUUUUUAUUCAAAUUCUGUGUACAACAAACAUUUCCUGAGUAUUUCAAAAGGCGAAGGAAAAUAUAAACCAUACAGUUAUUCAUAUAAGAAACCUGUAUCAUGAUCUUCACUCUGUUUUUGAAAUUCA